rnacentral:lncRNA from 1 species
UGGAACCCUCAAUCUAGGCAGCGCGGCUCUUCACACAACUGGUCGCCUCACCGACUGGGCAGUGGCUAAUUUAUCUGAAGAAACCCUCUCCUAUUUUCGUGCUGUACUCCUGUGCAUCCUGGGUGCUAGCCAAUCAGUAGCCUACUUGCCCAUCCAACAUUCCUGUUCUCCUUUUUUCAUCUCUACCUAGCAACGCAUUAAUAUUCCACCCUUCCCCAUCCAUUCAUUUAGUUAGGGUACAUUUACGGAGUGCCUCCACCGAGCACUUGUAUCACCAGUUUACUAGUCUUUGAACCACAAAGGCCUGAGUUGAGGGAAGAGGCCCAGGGACAGGAUGGGAGGAUACGUUGCUGUGAGGUGCUAGGGGCUCUAUUGUGAGGAGAGACUAUCUUACCUGGUUGCAGACCAAAUGAUGACGCCAUUGGGCCUCAAAGUUGAGUGAAAAAUCACUGGGAUAUGUGUGUACCUUUAAAGUAAAACAGAGCACUUAUUGGCAUGAAUCUCCAGAUUUGGAGUGAGGCUUUUGAGGUUGCAGAAUAUUUUUCCCAUUCACAGGACAAACUAAGUUGGCUUGAAGAACAUGAUUUCAUGGACACUUGCCUAUACAAGAUGCACUCACCCCUGGCAUUAAUGUAUUAUUACUGUGUGUUAUGACACAUGGUUGAAAGGAAAGGGUUUAUGGUUGGGGCUGCAGGAGAGCCUCAAAAUGGAGCAGGAGACCACUUAUAGGACAGCACUUGAAUAAGCCCACUGAGUCUCAGAAUGAAUCAGACAUCAAAAUGACAUAGCACAUUACUAUCUUGUGUGUAUAUGUAUGAUUACACAACCAAUGUAAGUCUACAUCCUGUAUAACCAGAAGAAUAAGAAGUUAUACUCCAUAUAUGUAUAAUAUUUCAAAAUAUAUUCUACUAUGAUGUAUAGCUAAUAAGUACAAAUAAAAAAC